GGUGAGCAGCUGAUGUCAAUGGAUGCGUGCCGCAUGGGAAAAGUGCGGCAUCCGGAGGGAGGAGGCGGCCGAAACUGGCGACGCGACGGACCGACGAGGAUAGCCGGAAAUAGUAAGGCGGCCGGAUGUAACUGGGUCCGACGGAGGGUCGUGAGGUGAGAGGGUAACGCGACAGAAUAACGAACGAGUGUGUAUGGUUGUCGACAUUUCAGAGCGAAAAGAGGGUUCCGACAGACGGGCGGCCGAUCGGCGCGUCGUGGCGCGGCGAAUUUUGCUUCGGCACGCCGCGUAGUGGCACUGACAUAGGAUUUGCAUUUUCGGACGCGAUAGCGUCAGCAUAAAAGGAAGGAAUUGCAGCGAUAGUCCAGUAUACUUGUUGGACGAAACAAGAUGAGCGACGAAAUAGUUGAAGUAUCGUCUUCAGACGAAUCCAUGCAUGUGAGUAGCCGUUUCGGUCGUGAUGCCGAUCACUUUACUUUGCAAACAGUUUCGGACGUAUCAGAGUAAGACUCGUAACACUUUGAAAAACUGUUUUCGUUCUCUUACAGGAAAACCUAUCCCAACCUGAGGCAGUCGACAGAAUUUUUGAAAUACUGCAUCGAGCUGGAGUAAUGGACGCCUUCGAGGCCGCUUUACAAGAACUUAUUUCGGGCAAUGACGAGACCGCCGACCCAAUCACUGCUAUGAUACAGAGCCUGGGGGCUAUGAGCCCGAGUACGUGGAGGUGCUGCGGACAGAGCUGAAAUACGAACGGGAACGCAAUAGGUCCCUCCAGGCCAGACUGGACGAGUUCGAAAAAUCCACAAAACGAAAAACCUUUGAGCAGUCGUCAACAUCAAAAGAAGUCAUUAUCGAAAUAUCUUCCGACGACUCGGACGUAAUGGAAGAGUCGAAUAAUAACAGUAAAAAUAGAAAGGCAGAGGAGAGAGAAGGGCCGGCACAAAGAAAACGUCGACGAACCAUGCCGUAAAAGUUUAAAAUAAACUUAAUGAAGUAAGCUCAUGUGUCCUUAACAAAGUUUUUAAAUAUAAUAAUACGGUUAAAACAAAUAAAUUUAACACCUGGUUCAUAAACGUAAUGAAAUGAAAUUAACCUGAGCGACCAUUCAAUAAUAAAAUUCAUAUACUUAGCAUUAAAAACUGCCACCUAAACAUUAGCUUUAAAUUUUAUUACAGUAGAACCUCGAAAACU